rnacentral:rRNA from 1 species
GAUGAACGCUGGCGGCGUGCCUAAUACAUGCAAGUCGAGCGAACAGAUGAGGAGCUUGCUCCUCUGACGUUAGCGGCGGACGGGUGAGUAACACGUGGAUAACCUACCUAUAAGACUGGGAUAACUUCGGGAAACCGGAGCUAAUACCGGAUAAUAUAUUGAACCGCAUGGUUCAAUAGUGAAAGACGGUUUUGCUGUCACUUAUAGAUGGAUCCGCGCCGCAUUAGCUAGUUGGUAAGGUAACGGCUUACCAAGGCAACGAUGCGUAGCCGACCUGAGAGGGUGAUCGGCCACAGUGAAACUGAGACACGGCCCAGACACCGAGGGGAGGCAGCAGUAGGGAAUCUUCCGAAAUGGGCGAAAGCUUGCAGGAGCAACGCAGCGUGGGUGAUGAAGGUCUGCGGAUCGUAAAACUGUGUUAUUGGGGAAGACCAAAUGUGUAAGUAACGAUGCACGUCUGGAGGUUACCUAAUAAGAAGGCCACGGCUAACACGGU